UUUUAAAAUCUUAAAUAUUACGGCGUUUUAAAACAUGUAUUACCGAACUCAACUCACAAUUGUUUUUCAUUAGCAAAGAUUAAUCGGUGCAUACAAGUAUAAAUUAUAAUCCCCUGUAUAUCCUACCUUCCAAGUUCUCAUCUACAACAGCGGCCCAACUUACGUGUGAAGUAUGUCUAUGUAUGUAUUAAUUAUAUUAUAU